AAGCCCUGUCUCCUCCCAUCU
rnacentral:miRNA from 1 species